GUGCAAAGGAAUAAAAUUAAGUGCUUACUAAAUCAUAUUUAGAUCUUUAUUAACAAAUUCAUUUAAAUAAGUUUAAUAUUCCAUAAAUGACAAGCAGCUUAAAUAUAAGUUUUAUAAUUAUCAUUAAAAAAUUAAUAAAAUCAAAAUCAGUUAAAUUUUCAAAAAGGCAAUGUGACAUUUACCACUAACCUGACUAAAUGGCCGCACUCGUACUGCUACUAUCACACGGUCGCUACUUGGCAGAGGCAUUUUCAUCAUUUUCUCAUUGUCCAUACUGUUAUUUGGUAGAAAAAUAAUGUAGAAAGCCACACUGCUAUGCUUCAUACUAAAACAUUAAAAGCUUAGCUGACAAAGGCAGUUUGUUUCCAGAUCAUCAAUUAUUAAUGGUCCAUUCAUUACACACUAUCAAUUACCUAGUAUAAAUUAUUUUACAACACUUAUUUAUUGAUGAAAUUUAUGGCCUGCAUCAAGUAUCAUUACUUCAUUGCACAAAGUCUUACUGCAGAAAAAGGGGUGCUUUCAUUUUUUUUCUUGUUCUUUAUCUACUCAUCUCUUCCCAUUCUCAAUCUGUGCCUGAGGUCCUAUGAUAAUUAAUUUGCCAGUUUUAAAUCCUGAAUAUUAAGGGAAUUCUGUGAUUCAGUAAGUUUCUUCAUAGCAAGAAUAUUAUAAAAUUUAUCCAAACUUCUCCCAUUAUCAAUAUUAGGCACACACAAGGUGUACUGAAUAUUGGUAAAACAGAUUUAUUUUACAUUUUCUUCUCAAAUCUUUUCAUGAGGUUGCUAAUAAGCAGUGAACCGGUCAAUCUAACCUGGGUAAUAAGUCUCUGAAUUAAGAGACAUUAAAGAUAAAUAGCCUUAAGCUUGCUGAACAAGAAAUGCCAAUAUUAUAGUUAACCACAAUGCAUUACUUGGAAAACUACUCAUUUGAGGUAGGUAGAUUACACAAAAUUUGUGAAACUACAAAAAGGCAGCAAAAUUACAUGCCCAUAAUUCAAUUUCAGCAUAGUAACAGGCAAAACCAAAUAAAAGUACACAUUAUGAUUAGAAAUCUUAAUCACAAAAUCAAAGUGCAUAAGUUAUAAAAUAACAACUUUAAAAAAUAAUAGUUCAAUCACCCUCAUUUUAAGAUUGGUCUAGUAUUUUAACUAUAGAGAGAAAAAUGGGACAAAUGCCUACUAGCAUAUAAAAAUCAUUAAGACAGAAAUUCCCUUUCAAAAAUCUAACAGACACAAACUACUGUUAAGUAUACAUUUUAUUUAACAUUCCAAUAAGAAGCCAUAUUUACAUAUUAUAUAAAUGUAUGAAGUCUUAAUAUAAAAUAGAAAAAACACCUGAACUAAAAGAAUCACACUCCGUAUGGAGUUACUUUACUUACUGAAGACAUUCUAUUUUUUUUUUUUUUUUUUUUUUUUUU
rnacentral:lncRNA from 1 species